CUUUAUUAAAUAUAAAUAUCAAAAGGGCCAUCCACUUCUCUCACUUGGUCCUCGGGCAUCAAGAAGCCCUUUUCUGAAGUUGCUAUCCAGACGAUAAAAUUCGCCCUAGUUUUCUCUACGUCUCUCAAUCCUCGCAGAUUCGAAGUCUAGGUGUUGGAAAUUUAAGGCUUUCCUAUAAAAUAAUGCUUCAAGAUGGAGGCAAGAGACUUGGUUGUAGAUAUAUAGAUGAGCAACUUAAUUUAAGUUUAUGUAUAUUGUCUUAUAAUGUGUUUUUAAUUUCGUUGUAUAUUAUAUGAGUUUCUUCUAUAUAGAGAAAUUAGGGACAACUUUAAACAAGUUCUUUGAUUUGUACUUUAAUUAAUAAUCAAAUGUAUAUUAAAUAUGUUUUGAUUAUAUAUAAAAUCAUGAUAAUUUGAUUGUCA